AAAUUUCUUCCCUAUCAACUUUCGAUGUUUGGGUAUUGGCCAAACAUGGUUGCAACGGGUAACGGAGGGUUAGGGCUCGACCCCGGAGAAGGAGCCUGAGAAACGGCUACUACAUCCAAGGAAGGCAGCAGGCGCGCAAAUUACCCAAUCCCGACUCGGGGAGGUAGUGACAAUAAAUACUGAUACAGGGCCCUUUCGGGCCUUGUAAUUGGAAUGAGUACAAUUUAAAUCCCUUAACGAGGAACAAUUGGAGGGCAAGUCUGGUGCCAGCAGCCGCGGUAAUUCCAGCUCCAAUAGCGUAUAUUAAAGUUGUUGUGGUUAAAAAGCUCGUAGUUGAACCUUGGGCCUGGCUGGCCGGUCCGCCUCACCGCGUGCACUGGUCCGGCCGGGCCUUUCCCUCUGUGGAACCCCAUACCCUUCACUGGGCGUGGCGGGGAAACAGGACAUUUACUUUGAAAAAAUUAGAGUGCUCCAGGCAGGCCUAUGCUCGAAUACAUUAGCAUGGAAUAAUAAAAUAGGACGCGCGGUUCUAUUUUGUUGGUUUAUAGGACCGCCGUAAUGAUUAAUAGGGACAGUCGGGGGCAUCAGUAUUCAACUGUCAGAGGUGAAAUUCUUGGAUCAGUUGAAGACUAACUACUGCGAAAGCAUUUGCCAAGGAUGUUUUCAUUAAUCANGA
rnacentral:rRNA from 1 species